AACAUCCGAGAGCCUGAAAGCGCACAAGUCACAAAACGCCAGAUCCUAGCACACAGCACAUUAUGUUUCUUCCCUGACGCAAGCUUUUUUUUUUUUUUUUCCUUGCCAAACCUUUCCACUGGGAGUCUGGAAAGAGAAAAAAAGGGUUACAUUCAAUCCAGCACAAAGUUUGCAGAAACUGAAGUGCAGAAUCACAACAGACAUGGCAGCGGAGGCAGCGCAAGACAACAGGUGAACCUCCGAGAAACCUGGCACCUUCCCGCGGGCAAGUUCUGCGGGAGGGCUGGCAGUUCCUCCUGGCUCUACCGCCCCACGAAACAGACAUUCGUUUUCUUUUCUUUUUUUUGCAGAAACAUAAUGGACAAAUCGCGAAUAUCACCCUCGCAGCUCCCGCGCGGGGAGCUCCCCGGCUUCUCUUUCUGGGCUCUUUGCCAGCGUGCCGAGGCGCAGGUAGGGAGGUGGAGGUGGACAGGCUCCGAGUGAGCUGCAGGGGAAAGGAGCAUUUCCGCGUCGGUCCUGGAGCUCCGAGGCCUGGCCCGCCCGCGGACCCUGUGAUGGAGCCCGUGAAUUCCAAGGGCAUAAGAUGAGGAGCGGCGUUAACCCAACAGAACUGAAGUCAGCGGACUAUAAAUAUUGCUCCCUUCUCUACCUUUGGCUCACUCUAGGGACCUCGGGUACACUCCGAAGUCUCAUUCCCUCCAUUUGGAAAACAUAAAUAAUUGUCACUACCUCUUUUCUUCCAUUUGUCCUCAUUCUUUGGAAAAUGCCGUUAAAAGUAUUCAAUGUCCUGGAUGUGAAGAAAGAGUCUAGGUCCCUUUUUAACAACCAAAUGUGACCUUGAUCUCUUUGGUAAGUCUUUAAACGAAUGUAUGGUGUUAAGUCUCUUUACAAAAGAUACUCUUUUUUAAAGUUACCUUUAUAAAAUCACUUUUUAAACUGUGGGUAAAAAGAGGCAAGGAAAAGAAUGUGCCAGGCCCUGAUGUUUGUGUUUUACACACAUUCUCCCUUGAGAGACAUUUAGAUUCCAGGCUUUUAGAUUCCAUUUAUAUUCUUCUUUAAAUAGCUAAAUUCCCUUACAUUCUUGUUUAAUGGGGUUUUUUUGUCCAUCUUUUAUUCUGUCCCCCUUUUAUACAUCCACCUUUGCCCUUAAUUCCUCAGAUACCUUCCAUAAUUCCAAGUUAUUUUUCAAUUCUAUUUAUUCUUUAAUUUUUUUUCCUGAACUCUAUACCUGUCAGGUUUGAGAGUCAUGGAUCUUGCUAUGCAGGAUGAAUGUAUGAUACAUGAGUUUCCCUGCAUCUCCUAAAAUUUGUCACUUUUUCAAGUUUUCUACAUAGGACACUGCUUUGAUAUCAAGGGAAAGGGUGGACCUUUUGCUUGAGGAGAUUCAGACUGAUCAACUAAAGAACUCAUUGAUGUAAGCUGAGCAAUGUGUCAUGGCAGAUAAAACUAUGAGAAGUGUGUUAAUAUACCCUCUAGAGCCUAGUUCAAUUUUCAGACAUAUGAAUCAGUCUAUAAAAUAGACAACCUCAGGUUGGUAGUUUAGUACAUCAAGUUUCUGAAAUGUACAAAUCUGUGUUGCCUAGGUUGUGUUAUAUGUGGAAAUAAGAGCAAAACUGAAGCAUCAAAUUUUAAGUCAUGACAUCUUUGCUUCUCUACAAAAGAAUCUCCUUUUCAAGUUUUUGGAAAUUUUACUAGACAUCCUUUUGCUCUCCUUGGAUAAGGCCCACCUUAGUGCCCAGGCUGAAAUCCUUAGCUUUAUCACAGCGGGCAACCUACCUACUGACAACUGAGCAGGGCAUGGUGUUUUCUCUGGUUCCUGGCACAUGUAUGCAUGCUGGCCUGUUUCUCUGGUUUGCCUGCCCACUAAAUGAACAAGAGCAGCCAGGAAGCCCAAGGAGAGAUCUGGACACGUAUAGUCUGGCCCCCAAACUCAAAGGCAACACCUCAAGGUCCAAAUUCAACAUUCUCUAAUGUGAUGGUUUUCCUUUAAGUAGCUUAAUAGAAUGCUCUGGAAAUGGGCCUUUUUUCUCUGCAUAGUCUGUUUGAGGUACAGGUCUCAAGAGUGGUAGUUGCAUGCCCAAAUCACAUAGCAUUAGUUUGGAAUGCAAAAUCACCUUUCUCUUACAGUUCUCAGGACCUCAAGGACACUUUCCCUGAUCACCUGUCUUAAAUUAGCACCUCAACACAGCCAAUUUUAUUUUCUUUAUGCCACUUUUUACUAUAUGAAUUUACUUUGUUCAUUUAGUUAUUCGUUUAUGGUCUGAGUUUCUCUGACCCUCUUGAAUGUAAACUCCGUGAGAGCAAAGACCUUGUCAAUCUUGUUCUCAACUGUUUCCUCAGAGCCUAGUUCCUGGCACAUAUCUAGUGCUCAAUAUUUGUUAAAUGAAUGAGUGAGAUAAGGAUAGAAUUUCCUGUAAGCAUUUCUGAACCUUGUCAUCAAGACCCAGGUUUUUAUUUAUUUAUUUAUUUAUUUUCUAUUUUCUUUUAGCCGUGCCACGUGGCUUGCAGGAUCCUAGUUCCCUGACCAGGGAUCAAACCCGGGUCCCCUGCAGUGGAUGCGUGGAGCCCUAACCAUUGGACUGCCAGGGAAUCCCAAGACCAAGUUUUAGAGGGUGGCUUGGACUAUGUUGAAAAGGUGAGGAUGGAUCAGGGAAGCUAUGGGUUAUACCAUCUUCAGUGAAAAGGAGACAUCUGCUUUCAGGGAAGGCAUUAGUUCGAUAGAUUCAUCCAAGUUAAUCCAUCCAAAGUCAUUUUCCUGCUGUAAAGACUUUAUGAGGCAAAGGCAGCACUAAGUCAUCGUGGGUAUGGAGAUAAAUUAGAGUCCACUAAGGAGGGAAUAGUGAAGGGAUGCCCUUGACAGAGUGAUGCUUUAGGUUGGUUUCAAACCCAAUAUUAAUGGACAAGAGUGCUGUGAAGAGUAGAGGAAACAGCUACAUUUUUCAGCAUGGACACUACUACAUCAUUUUAUUGGUUAAUAAUACCCUGUCAUGGUUUAGAAGGACCAAGCCAAAACAGAAAUUGUGUUUGAGAAAAAGAGAUGGUUAUAUAUAAAUAUAACUCAGUGCACAAGAUAGAGAAAAGUUUAAAGAUCUGAAUUUGUUUUUUCUUUGUAAUGGUAUAAUACUUGAUUUCCCAUUCUAUUUUCACUUAUAAAUAACUUGCUCCUUUUCCCAUUUCCGUUUUCACUUCUCCUUGUUUCAAAGGACUUGUUUCCUAUGAUUAAAAGAUGGUUUAGUGAGGCUCUUGCUACAAAGUAGUCACCACUUGGUCCUGCCUAGUCCAUGGUCUCUGUAGACCUCUCCCUACUAUCGGUACACCUUUUACCAUAGAGCCCAAUCCUCUCCUGGCCCUGUGACAGGAAGACUUCCCAGAGCUCUGGUCCCAAGCCCAGGACUCAGCCUCCUGCUGCUUCUGCUACCUACUUGGGGAGCCCUAACCUUGGCCCCCUUCUAAGCACUGACUUAUAGCCCUUUACUUGCUCUUGAAGCCAUGGCCUUUUAGCCUGUGUGGAACUUGAUUUUCUCUGCUUGUUGUCUGGACUUUGCUCUCUGGAGUCUGCCCCAGCCCUAUAACACAGACCCUUCUGUGCACUGAUAGCAAUGCUUGUUUGCCUUCAGCUUUUUUCCUAGAUUCUCUGAGUCUGUAUUAUACCCAUCUAUCAGGCCUCCUUUCCCCCAUU
ensembl:lncRNA